rnacentral:rRNA from 1 species
AUUGAACGCUGGCGGUAUGCCUUACACAUGCAAGUCGAACGGCAGCACGGGAGCAAUCCUGGUGGCGAGUGGCGAACGGGUGAGUAAUAUAUCGGAACGUGCCCAGUCGUGGGGGAUAACGUAGCGAAAGCUACGCUAAUACCGCAUACGAUCUAUGGAUGAAAGCGGGGGAUCGCAAGACCUCGCGCGAUUGGAGCGGCCGAUAUCAGAUUAGGUAGUUGGUGGGGUAAAAGCCUACCAAGCCUUCGAUCUGUAGCUGGUCUGAGAGGACGACCAGCCACACUGGAACUGAGACACGGUCCAGACUCCUACGGGAGGCAGCAGUGGGGAAUUUUGGACAAUGGGCGCAAGCCUGAUCCAGCAAUGCCGCGUGCAGGAUGAAGGCC